AAGAAACGAAUUAUCAUACAUACAACAAUUCGAUCUAGGUAGCCGCAGAUAAUCUUCCCUUACAUCGCCUCUACGCAACGCAACCGGCAAAAAUUCUAAGUGACAUUUAAAUAGCUGACGAUAAUUUAAAUAUAUUUCUUUGUAAAAUAGGCAUGCUAUAAAGUAGUUUCUUCUGUCACUCAGCUUUAACCAACCUAGCCUCUUAAAGUACGGAGUAAUGUGUUCAGCCCUCGCAAUUUUAUAGAUAUAGCGAACACAGCAAUUCAUUUUGCGCUGUAAUCGCAUUUGCGAGUAAUUAGUAAUAUUGCAGUAAGCCGCACAACAAUAAUCAAACACUGGGAAUAUUAACGUGGUGACAAGCUUCAUACGCAGUUUUUCGUUGAAGAUUUCAUUAUUAAUCUUCAACUGCGCCAGAACCCGCAUUGCCCUAUUACAAACACUCAUAACCUGAUUUUCCCAGAUCAUCAGACAAUUGAGUCGGAAAACGGAAGGCUCGACAGGCCAGUCCAGAAACUUAUGUCGUUACUUCAUCGAGGUAGAGGUAUCCUGAAAUUUCUUCACGGCCAUAUAAAACGUCCUAUGACCUAUAAGAUUUAUUAAUCCACAGCCGUCAUGUGUUGUCGAUCAUGAACGGCAUUGGAUAAGAUCAAAGCAGUCGAUAUUCCCUUAUCUAUUUAAUAAGAAAAUAAGGGAGUAUUUAACGAUAGAUGUUUGAUAAAUUAAAAAUUAAUCUAAGGGAAUUU